rnacentral:rRNA from 1 species
AAACUAUGACAGUAUUUANACCAACUGUUCGCCAGGGUACUACAAGCUCUAGCUUGAAAUCCAAAGGACUUGGCGGUGCUUUAAACCCACCUAGAGGAGCCUGUCCUAGAACCGAUAACCCCCGUUCAACCUCACCCUUUCUUGUUUAUUCCGCCUAUAUACCGCCGUCGUCAGCUUACCCUGUGAAGGGUCUAUAGUAAGCAAAACCNGUAAAACUAAAAACGUCAGGUCGAGGUGUAGCAUAUGAAAGGGGAAGAAAUGGGCUACAUUCCCUAAAUAAGGGCAUACGAAAAAUGUGAUGAAAAGCACAUUAGAAGGAGGAUUUAGCAGUAAGUAGAAAAUAGAGUGUUCU